AGGAGAAGUUAACUCACUUCAGAAAACAUUCUGGUUGAGAAAAGAUGGUUUUCAUUACAAAGAUGUAGAAACAGACUCAGAGUAUUCAGGUCGUGUGAAGAAUAUCUGUGAUGAGAACAAAUGCACUCUGAGAAUCACAAACCUGAGAGAGACAGACUCGACUGUGUACAGGUUUGGAUUCAUAAUAAACAAAGACAGUUAUCAUGGUCACCCUGGGGUCACUCUGUCAGUCACAGAUCUCCAGGUGAAGGUGAGCAGACCACAUGAGGCUCUGCUCUUUCAGUGUCUCAGUGGACUUUCCAGUCAAACCUCCUACAUCUGGUUCAGGAACGGACAGAAACUCAAACAUAGCACUUCAUCUUAUUAUCCACCAGAGCAGCUUCUUCAGACAGACAGUUACUCCUGUGCUCUAUCAGGACAUGAGAAGUGCCCGUCUCCUCCAGUGUAUGCUCCAAAGCUUCCC